UGUGAUAAAUGAGGUACCCUACACCCCUUGUAUGUCGGUAAAUGUGAUUAAUGAGAUACCCUACACCCCUUGAAUGUCGGUAAAUGUGAUUAAUGAGAUACCCUACACCCCUUGAAUGUCGGUAAAUGUGAUUAAUGAGAUACCCUACACCCCUUGUAUGUCGGUAAAUGUGAUAAAUGAGGUACCCUACACCCCUUGUAUGUCGGUAAAUGUGAUAAAUGAGGUACCCUACACCCCUUGUAUGUCGGUAAAUGUGAUAAAUGAGGUACCCUACACCCCUUGUAUGUCGGUAAAUGUGAUAAAUGAGGUACCCUACACCCAUUGAAUGUCGGUAAAUGUGAUAAAUGAGGUACCCUACACCCCUUGUAUGUCGGUAAAUGUGAUAAAUGAGGUACCCUACACCCCUUGUAUCUCGGUAAAUGUGAUUAAUGAGGUACCCUACACCCCUUGUAUCUCGGUAAAUGUGAUAAAUGAGGUACCCUACACCCCUUGUAUGUCGGUAAAUGUGAUAAAUGAGGUACCCUACACCCCUUGUAUGUCGGUAAAUGUGAUAAAUGAGGUACCCUACAUCCCUUGUAUGUCGGUAAAUGUGAUAAAUGAGGUACCCUACAUCCCUUGUAUGUCGGUAAAUGUGAUAAAUGAGGUACCCUA